GAGUUUGAUCAUGGCUCAGAUUGAACGCUGGCGGCAGGCCUAACACAUGCAAGUCGAGCGGAUGACGGGAGCUUGCUCCUUGAUUCAGCGGCGGACGGGUGAGUAAUGCCUGGGAAUCUGCCUGGUAGUGGGGGACAACGUUUCGAAAGGAACGCUAAUACCGCAUACGUCCUACGGGAGAAAGCAGGGGACCUUCGGGCCUUGCGCUAUCAGAUGAGCCUAGGUCGGAUUAGCUAGUUGGUGGGGUAAUGGCUCACCAAGGCGACGAUCCGUAACUGGUCUGAGAGGAUGAUCAGUCACACUGGAACUGAGACACGGUCCAGACUCCUACGGGAGGCAGCAGUGGGGAAUAUUGGACAAUGGGCGAAAGCCUGAUCCAGCCAUGCCGCGUGUGUGAAGAAGGUCUUCGGAUUGUAAAGCACUUUAAGUUGGGAGGAAGGGCAGUAAGUUAAUACCUUGCUGUUUGACGUUACCGACAGAAUAAGCACCGGCUAACUCUGUGCCAGCCGCCG
rnacentral:rRNA from 1 species